rnacentral:tRNA from 1 species
GCGGAAGUGGCGAAAUUGGUAGACGCACCAGAUUUAGGUUCUGGCGCCGCAAGGUGUGAGAGUUCAAGUCUCUCCUUCCGC